rnacentral:rRNA from 1 species
UACAGAGGAGCCAAGCGUUGUCCGGAUUGACUGGGCGUAAAGCGCACGCAGGCGGACGCGCGCGUGGGGUGUGAAAUCUGGCCGCUUAACGGCCAGGCGCCAUCCCAUACGGCGCGUCUGGAGUGAUGCAGAGGUCGGUGGAAUUGCCGGUGUAGUGGUGAAAUGCGUAGAGAUCGGCAGGAACACCCAGGGGGAAACCAGCCGACUGGGCAUUUGCUGACGCUGAGGUGCGAGAGCGUGGGGAGCGAACCGG